rnacentral:rRNA from 1 species
CACGUAGGGCGCAAGCGUUGUCCGGAAUUAUUGGGCGUAAAGAGCUCGUAGGCGGUCUGUUGCGUCCGCUGUGAAAACCCGGGGCUUAACCCCUGGCUUGCAGUGGAUACGGACAGACUAGAGGUAGGUAGGGGAGAAUGGAAUUCCCGGUGUAGCGGUGAAAUGCGCAGAUAUCAGGAGGAACACCGAUGGCGAAGGCAGGUCUCUGGGCAUUAACUGACGCUGAGGAGCGAAAGCAUGGGGAGCGAACAGG